AUUGAACGCUGGCGGCAUGCUUUACACAUGCAAGUCGAACGGUAACAGGGUGCUUGCACCGCUGACGAGUGGCGAACGGGUGAGUAAUGCAUCGGAACGUACCCAGUCGUGGGGGAUAACGUAGCGAAAGUUACGCUAAUACCGCAUACGUCCUGAGGGAGAAAGCGGGGGACCGUAAGGACUCGCGCGAUUGGAGCGGCCGAUGUCGGAUUAGCUAGUUGGUAGGGUAAAGGCCUACCAAGGCGACCCUCCGUAGCGGGUCUGAGAGGAUGAUCCGCCACACUGGGACUGAGACACGGCCCAGACUCCUACGGGAGGCAGCAGUGGGGAAUUUUGAACAAUGGGCGAAAGCCUGAUCCAGCCAUGCCGCGUGAGUGAAGAAGGCCUUCGGAUUGUAAAGCUCUUUCAGAUGGAAAGAAAACGUACAGGUUAAUACCUUGUGCGGAUGACGGUACCAUCAGAAGAAGCACCGGCUAACUACGUGCCAGCCGCCGCCGUAAUAC
rnacentral:rRNA from 1 species